GACGAACGCUGGCGGCGGGCUUAACACAUGCAAGUCGAACGGAAAGGCCCUGCUUUUGUGGGGUGCUCGAGUGGCGAACGGGUGAGUAACACGGGAGUAACCUGCCCUUGACGUUGGGAUGACUUCAGGAAACUGGUGCUAAUACCUGAUAGGAGCUCCUGCUGCAUGGUGGGGGUUGGAAAGUUUCGGCGGUUGGGGAUGGACUCGCGGCUUAUCAGCUUGUGGGUGGGGUAGUGGCUUACCAAGGCUUUGACGGGUAGCCGGCAUGAGAGGGUGACCGGCCACAUUGGGACUGAGAUACGGCCCAGAGUCCUACGGGAGGCAGCAGGGGGGAAUAUUGCACAAUGGGCGGAAGCCUGAUGCAGAAACGCCGCGUGCGGGAUGACGGCCUUCGGGUUGUAAACCGCUUUCGGCUGUGACGAAGCGUGAGUGACGGUAAUGGGUAAAGAAGCACCGGCUAACUACGUG
rnacentral:rRNA from 1 species